ACAGUGGGAGGAGCCCUAGGGUCACAAAACUGUCUUCUUCCCCUCGGUCAGUCUAGAGCAGAGGUGAAGGAAGAACCCAUGGGACUCCCAAGGCGGCUGCUGCUGCUGCUGUUGCUGGCGACUACCUGUGUCCCAGCCUCCCAGGGCCUGCAGUGCAUGCAGUGUGAGAGUAACCAGAGCUGCCUGGUAGAGGAGUGUGCUCUGGGCCAGGACCUCUGCAGGACUACCGUGCUUCGGGAAUGGCAAGAUGAUAGAGAGCUGGAGGUGGUGACAAGAGGCUGUGCCCACAGCGAAAAGACCAACAGGACCAUGAGUUACCGCAUGGGCUCCAUGAUCAUCAGCCUGACAGAGACCGUGUGCGCCACAAACCUCUGCAACAGGCCCAGACCCGGAGCCCGAGGCCGUGCUUUCCCCCAGGGCCGUUACCUCGAGUGUGCGUCCUGCACCUCUUUGGACCAGAGCUGUGAGAGGGGCCGGGAGCAAAGCCUGCAAUGCCGCUAUCCUACAGAGCACUGUAUUGAAGUGGUGACCCUCCAGAGCACAGAAAGGAGCUUGAAGGAUGAGGACUACACCCGAGGCUGUGGCAGUCUUCCCGGAUGCCCAGGCACAGCAGGUUUCCAUAGCAACCAGACCUUUCACUUCCUGAAGUGUUGCAACUACACCCACUGCAAUGGUGGCCCAGUUCUGGAUCUUCAGAGCUUUCCACCGAAUGGCUUCCAGUGUUACAGCUGUGAGGGGAACAAUACCCUUGGGUGUUCCUCCGAAGAGGCGUCUCUCAUCAACUGCCGGGGACCAAUGAAUCAGUGCCUGGUGGCUACAGGCUUAGAUGGUGAGGCCCUGUGGGAGCUGGAAGGGGACCCACUGAGGCACUGAGCGCUGAUAAGACUGAUUGACAGAUGGUCCGGUUGGAUCUUCCUAUGGUAAAGGCGACACUUUAGCUGGGGAUGGUGGUACACAGUUUACUCCCAGCACUUGGGAAUCAGAGUGCUGGGAAACCGGAGUUAUACCGUAAGAGGCUGCGCCACGGCUUCCUGGUGCCAAGGCUCCCACGUGGCAGACUCCUUCCCGACCCACCUCAACGUCUCUGUCUCCUGCUGCCACGGCAGCGGCUGUAACAGCCCCACAGGGGGCGCCCCCAGGCCAGGCCCUGCUCAACUCAGCCUCAUUGCCUCUCUGCUCCUGACCCUCGGACUAUGGGGCGUCCUCCUCUGGACCUGACUCCUGAGCCGGCAGCCCUGGCUGGACCCAGGGUCUUUUGACUCCCUCCCCCCUGCUCCAUCUUUGAGGAUGUGUGUGCCCUCGUGUUGUCUUCUUUGGACCUCAGUUUUUCCAUGAACCAGAAGAGAAUUGGAACAAGGGCUGCGGGCAGCAGGGGCCUCUUAGUUGAGAUAAUAUUGUUGCUGUUAUUAUUAUUAUUAUCAUUGUUAUUGCUCUAAUUUAUUAUAUAAAUAUAUAUAUAAAAGAUUUUUGUACCAGUGAACAAGGUUGGGUCUCCCCACUGUCACAUUUAGCUUGGGAAGAUGAGAGCAGCAGGGAAUUGUUUUUUUGUUUGUUUGUUUGUUUGAUUGAUUGAUUGAUUUUUGCUUUGAGACAGGAUCUCACCAUGUAGCCCUAGCUGCCCUGGAACUUACUUUAUAGACCAGGCUAGCCUAAAACUCACAGAGACCCACCUGCCUCUACCUCCUCAGUGCUUUGAUUAAAGGUGUGUACCACCA